ensembl:lncRNA
CAAACUGCUCUCUGUUGUCUGUAGCAGCCAGGGCUCUCAGUCUGAUCACUGACCAGCUUUCAGAAGACCUUGUCACUCACAACCUCCAGCACACGCAGAAAGAGGAUGAACAGAGCUCAACCAGUACGAGACGGUUAUGCCGGGGCUUAAAGUGGUCCUCCUCUAAAACUGAGUCCUCUAUGGUCGGAUUUCUCUCGGGCCUGUCCUGCCAGGAGGUGGAAGUAUGCCGAAGAGACCGACUUUGUAUUCAGUGAGUUGUUCGCCUGACCAGAGCGCCAAAACCCACUCACCUGAAAAGACAAAGCACUCACCCUCUGUCUCUGAGCUGUUGCCAUGGAAACCACCACCGUGUUGCAAAUGGCGAG